AAACAUGACAAUUUACCAUAACCGGUUAAAUUAUGCUGGGUAAAACAGUUUUUCAUUUUCAAUGUAUAUAUGUAAAAUCCUUUUCAAUGGGACAAAUUUUCAUUACUAAUAUCACCAUGGUGAGAGCUAAAUAGAAUGACAGAGGUUUAAACUUCUUUUGCUGAAAGACCUUUUUUAGUAAGUCAAAUAUUCAUUAGUAAACACCAAUGCGUUACCAAAAGUAUGUACAAGAUGUCUACAUGAAUCAAACAGGUCA